rnacentral:rRNA from 1 species
AUUGAACGCUGGCGGCAUGCUUUACACAUGCAAGUCGAACGGUAACAGCACUUCGGUGGCUGACGAGUGGCGAACGGGUGAGUAAUACAUCGGAACGUGCCUAGUAGUGGGGGAUAACUACUCGAAAGAGUAGCUAAUACCGCAUGAGAUCUAAGGAUGAAAGCAGGGGACCUUCGGGCCUUGCGCUACUAGAGCGGCUGAUGGCAGAUUAGGUAGUUGGUGGGAUAAAAGCUUACCAAGCCGACGAUCUGUAGCUGGUCUGAGAGGACGACCAGCCACACUGGGACUGAGACACGGCCCAGACUCCUACGGGAGGCAGCAGUGGGGAAUUUUGGACAAUGGGCGCAAGCCUGAUCCAGCAAUGCCGCGUGUAGGAUGAAGGCCUUCGGGUUGUAAACUGCUUUUGUACGGAACGAAAAGCCCUCUUCUAAUACAGGACGGUCAUGACGGUACCGUAAGAAUAAGCACCGGCUAACUACGUG